rnacentral:rRNA from 1 species
GGGGGGGGGGGGGGGGGGGGGGGGGGGGGGGGGGGGGGGGGGGGGCGGGGGAGGGGGGUGGUCGUGGGGGGGGCGGGUGGCGGGCGGGUGAGGGGGACAGCGGAAUCUACUUUUUCGUGGGGGGUAGCGUAGGGAGACUUACGCUAAUACCGCAUGCGAGCUCCGGGUGAAAGCAGGGGAUCUUCGGCCCUUGCGCGAUUGAAUGAGCCGAUGUCGGAUUAGCUAGUUGGCGGGGUAAAGGCCAACCAAGGCGAGGAUCCGUAGCUGGUCUGAGAGGAUGAUCAGCCACACUGGAACUGAGACACGGUCCAGACUCCGACGGGAGGCAGCAGUGGGGAAUAUUGGACAAUGGGCGCAAGCCUGAUCCAGCCAUACCGCGUGGGUGAAGAAGGCCUUCGGGUUGUAAAGCCCUUUUGUUGGGAAAGAAAAGCAGCAGGUUAAUACCCCGCUGUUCUGACGGUACCCAAAGAAUAAGCACCGGCUAACUUCGUG